rnacentral:tRNA from 3 species
GGAUGUGUAGUCACGUAUGGAUCGUGAGUGGGCUGUAACCCCAAUGUGUGCGAAAGCCACCAGCAAGGUUCGAUUCCUUGUACAUCCACCA